GGGGAUAUAGCUCAGUUGGUAGAGUGCUUGCCUUGCAUGCAUAAGGCCCUGGGUUCGAUCCCCAGCACCA
rnacentral:tRNA from 1 species